AGUGAACGCUGGCGGUAGGCCUAACACAUGCAAGUCGAACGGCAGCACAGGAGAGCUUGCUCUCUGGGUGGCGAGUGGCGGACGGGUGAGGAAUACAUCGGAAUCUACUUUUUCGUGGGGGAUAACGUAGGGAAACUUACGCUAAUACCGCAUACGACCUACGGGUGAAAGCAGGGGACCUUCGGGCCUUGCGCGAUUGAAUGAGCCGAUGUCGGAUUAGCUAGUUGGCGGGGUAAAGGCCCACCAAGGCGACGAUCCGUAGCUGGUCUGAGAGGAUAAUCAGCCACACUGGAACUGGGACACGGUCCAGACUCCUACGGGAGGCAGCAGUGGGGAAUAUUGGACAAUGGGCGCAAGCCUGAUCCAGCCAUACCGCGUGGGUGAAGAAGGCCUUCGGGUUGUAAAGCCCUUUUGUUGGGAAAGAAAUCCAGCUGGCUAAUACCCGGUUGGGAUGACGGUACCCAAAGAAUAAGCACCGGCUAACUUCGUGCCAGCCGCCGCGGUAA
rnacentral:rRNA from 1 species